rnacentral:rRNA from 1 species
AUUGAACGCUGGCGGCAGGCCUAACACAUGCAAGUCGAGCGGAUGAAGGGAGCUUGCUCCUGGAUUCAGCGGCGGACGGGUGAGUAAUGCCUAGGAAUCUGCCUGGUAGUGGGGGAUAACGUCCGGAAACGGGCGCUAAUACCUCAUACGUCCUGAGGGAGAAAGUGGGGGAUCUUCGGACCUCACGCUAUCAGAUGAGCCUAGGUCGGAUUAGCUAGUUGGUGGGGUAAAGGCCUACCAAGGCGACGAUCCGUAACUGGUCUGAGAGGAUGAUCAGUCACACUGGAACUGAGACACGGUCCAGACUCCUACGGGAGGCAGCAGUGGGGAAUAUUGGACAAUGGGCGAAAGCCUGAUCCAGCCAUGCCGCGUGUGUGAAGAAGGUCUUCGGAUUGUAAAGCACUUUAAGUUGGGAGGAAGGGCAGUAAGUUAAUACCUUGCUGUUUUGACGUUACCAACAGAAUAAGCACCGGCUAACUUCGUG